UACGUAGGGUGCGAGCGUUGUCCGGAAUUACUGGGCGUAAAGAGCUCGUAGGUGGUUUGUCGCGUUGUCCGUGAAAACUCACAGCUUAACUGUGGGCGUGCGGGCGAUACGGGCAGACUGGAGUACUGCAGGGGAGACUGGAAUUCCUGGUGUAGCGGUGGAAUGCGCAGAUAUCAGGAGGAACACCGGUGGCGAAGGCGGGUCUCUGGGCCGAUAUCGACGCUGAGGAGCGAAAGCGUGGGGAGCGAACAGG
rnacentral:rRNA from 1 species